GACGGGGGAGUAACGCGUGAGAAUCUAGCUAGGUGGGGACAACCAUGGAAACGGUGGCUAAUACCGGAUGUGCCGAAGGUGAAAGUUUGCCUAGAUGAGCUCGCGUCUGAUUAGCUAGUAGGUGUGGUAAGAGCGCACCUAGGCGACGAUCAGUAGCUGGUUGAGAGGAUGAUCAGCCACACUGGGACUGAGACACGGCCCAGACUCCUACGGGAGGCAGCAGUGGGGAAUUUUCCGCAAUGGGCGAAAGCCUGACGGAGCAAUACCGCGUGAGGGAGGAAGGCUCUUGGGUUGUAAACCUCUUUUCUCAGGGAAGAAAAAAAUGACGGUACCUGAGGAAUAAGCAUCGGCUAACUCCGUGCCAGCAGCCGCGGUAAUACGGAGGAUGCAAGCGUUAUCCGGAAUGAUUGGGCGUAAAGCGUCCGCAGGUGGCAAUGUAAGUCUGCUGUUAAAGAGUGAGGCUCAACCUCAUAAGAGCAGUGGAAACUACAUAGCUAGAGUGCGUUCGGGGCAGAGGGAAUUCCUGGUGAGCGGUGAAAUGCGUAGAGAUCAGGAAGAACACCGG
rnacentral:rRNA from 1 species